UACGUAGGGGGCAAGCGUUAUCCGGAAUUAUUGGGCGUAAAGAGCGCGCAGGUGGUUAAUUAAGUCUGAUGUGAAAGCCCACGGCUUAACCGUGGAGGGUCAUUGGAAACUGGUUGACUUGAGUGCAGAAGAGGGAAGUGGAAUUCCAUGUGUAGCGGUGAAAUGCGUAGAGAUAUGGAGGAACACCAGUGGCGAAGGCGGCUUCCUGGUCUGCAACUGACACUGAGGCGCGAAAGCGUGGGGAGCAAAUAGG
rnacentral:rRNA from 1 species